rnacentral:rRNA from 1 species
GACGAACGCUGGCGGCGUGCUUAACACAUGCAAGUCGAGCGGUAAGGCCCUUUCGGGGGUACACGAGCGGCGAACGGGUGAGUAACACGUGGGUGACCUGCCUUUAGCUCUGGGAUAAGCCUGGGAAACCGGGUCUAAUACCGGAUAUGACUCCGCGGCGCAUGUUGUGGGGUGGAAAGCCUUGUGCGGCUGGAGAUGGGCCCGCGGCCUAUCAGCUUGUUGGUGGGGUGAGGCCUACCAAGGCGACGACGGGUAGCCGGCCUGAGAGGGCGACCGGCCACACUGGGACUGAGACACGGGCCCAGACUCCUACGGGAGGCAGCAGUGGGGAAUCUUGCGCAAUGGGCGAAAGCCUGACGCAGCGACGCCGCGUGAGGGAUGACGGCC